GAGUUUGAUCAUGGCUCAGAUUGAACGCUGGCGGCAGGCCUAACACAUGCAAGUCGAGCGGUAGAGAGAAGCUUGCUUCUCUUGAGAGCGGCGGACGGGUGAGUAAUGCCUAGGAAUCUGCCUGGUAGUGGGGGAUAACGCUCGGAAACGGACGCUGAUACCGCAUACGUCCUACGGGAGAAAGCAGGGGACCUUCGGGCCUUGCGCUAUCAGAUGAGCCUAGGUCGGAUUAGCUAGUUGGUGAGGUAAUGGCUCACCAAGGCGACGAUCCGUAACUGGUCUGAGAGGAUGAUCAGUCACACUGGAACUGAGACACGGUCCAGACUCCUACGGGAGGCAGCAGUGGGGAAUAUUGGACAAUGGGCGAAAGCCUGAUCCAGCCAUGCCGCGUGUGUGAAGAAGGUCUUCGGAUUGUAAAGCACUUUAAGUUGGGAGGAAGGGCAGUAAAUUAAUACUUUGCUGUUUUGACGUUACCGACAGAAUAAGCACCGGCUAACUCUGUGCCAG
rnacentral:rRNA from 1 species